rnacentral:rRNA from 1 species
CACGAAGGGGGCUAGCGUUGCUCGGAAUCACUGGGCGUAAAGCGCACGUAGGCGGCUUUUUAAGUCAGGGGUGAAAUCCUGGAGCUCAACUCCAGAACUGCCUUUGAUACUGAGAAGCUUGAGUCCGGGAGAGGUGAGUGGAACUGCGAGUGUAGAGGUGAAAUUCGUAGAUAUUCGCAAGAACACCAGUGGCGAAGGCGGCUCACUGGCCCGGUACUGACGCUGAGGUGCGAAAGCGUGGGGAGCAAACAGG